rnacentral:misc_RNA from 1 species
GUGAAUCAUCGAAUUUUUGAACGCAAAUUGCACUUUCUGGUAUUCCGGAAAGUAUGCCUGUUUGAGGGUCAGUUAAAUAAAAAUCGGUGUUGUUGCUGCUUUUCGUGGUGACGCGUCGGAAUUGAGUUGUCUUACCUUCGGUUAAGGGACUUAAAUUUUUGCAGAAUUUUGGACGGUUUUUAAAUUUCUUACGUACGUUUGAGUUUCC